UACGUAGGGGGCAAGCGUUGUCCGGAUUUAUUGGGCGUAAAGAGCGUGUAGGCGGCUUGGAGGGUCAGCUGUGAAAACUCGAGGCUCAACCUCGAGACGUCGGUUGAAACCACCUGGCUAGAGUCCGGAAGAGGAGAGUGGAAUUCCCGGUGUAGCGGUGAAAUGCGCAGAUAUCGGGAAGAACACCCGUGGCGAAGGCGGCUCUCUGGGACGGUACUGACGCUGAGACGCGAAAGCGUGGGGAGCGAACAGG
rnacentral:rRNA from 1 species